UCCACCCAUCCAUUGGCCACGCAGGGAUGUAGUAAGUAACACCUAUAUAAAUCCAUUCUUAUCUCUUCUUCAUUGUUAAAGGCUUUGCCUUAAGUAAAUAACUUAAUGGCUUGAGUCACACGAAACCAAGAAAGGAAAUGUUAAACUAACAGGUAGUGGGAAAGCAGGAACUGGCUUUGACCUUAAACACAGGCUUAUGUCCUCUGAACUCACCGGAAGGGCCACUCAGAUGCUAACUGUGAGCCUUGUGCGGAUGUCCUGGUUUGUUUGUAAGCAUGAUUUGAAUUCUUGUUGGAUUCUGAUUGGUUGUUUGAUGUCCA